rnacentral:lncRNA from 1 species
UACGAGUUCUUGAAACGACGUUUGGCCCAAGGGCGACAACCGUCAUUUUGAAAAUUCUCCAUCCUUUCAAAUAUCCUGGACUUGAUGUCUUCCGAAUAAAUGAAAAUUUCAUUCAGCAACUGUCCGCCAUAUGUUUACAUGCCGAGAUUGCAAAGGUGGCAAGCUUAGUAACCAUGCCUCGAAAAUGUUAUAUUCGCCGCCUAGUGGCAUGCUAUUGAUCUCAGUUUCAGACAUACACGAAAAGGGUCGUCAAACAUAAUUUGCGGUAUACCACCCACGCAUCGGAACAGGAAGCCUUAGCAAUGACGACCGUGACACCAAGGACGACGCCCUGUACAAAAAUGGAUUAAUAUUUUACCUUCGAAUGUCGCAACUGUGUAGAUCUGUUCAGUUCUACGCCAAAAGGUCUAAAAAAACAUGCUCAGGCUAUGUAUGUAAUGAAAGCGUGUGAUUCCCAAAGAAGGUACGAAAAAUUUUUCAUUGGAGCUCACGUCCUCCACAAUACACAAAACUUGGUCUUUUCAGGGUUUGUUGUUGUUGUUGCUGUUGUUGUUGCUGUUGUUGUUGGUUUGGCAGUUGACGGGGAAGAAAUGUACGCACACGCGAAAGCUUUGUUCUGCUUGUGAAGCGUUUUGUUUGUUGACUGACCCGUUGGUGUUGUCACCGCGGUUUGCCUAAGUUCCCUGUCGGUCAGGUGCCAGCAUUAAGCGAUUACCAAUGACGUGAUUAAUUAAAAAAAAUAUUUGCAAUUUUGUUACACUUUUGGGUCAUAAUCAUCACUUUUUCUGCGAAACUGUGGAUUGCAGAUAUUUUCAAGCACGUAUGGAUGCUCCUAUUUUCGCCUUCUGUCUCUUUCUUUGCUUGUCGAACGGUCUGACAGCCUGGAAGAAGUUGAUGUCGAAGAUGACAUUUUGGACAUGCUGCAGGUAACGGACAAUUUGAAGGAGGUGCCUAAAAAGAACUUUCGCAACCACUCCCUCUUUCUCAAUGCAUUGUAUGACCAGGAGGUUACAAGCUCAAGCGCAGUCUAGUAAUUCUAGACCACACGACGACAUGUCAGCUGGGGGAAAGGAUCGUUCUCCAUUUAUUCAAGGCGAACAACCAGUUGCCGGUGGAGGGUUAAUGUUGCUUUUAGGCUCAAAUGUCAUGAGAUCGUGUUACAUGGGUGUAAUUGGGAUAGUUCUAAUUAUUAUACUGUCUUUAAAUGCAUGUAUGUAACACGGUGAAUGGGAUUGGAAUAAAACUGGGAUACAAACUGCUUGCUCUUUUUGUUUGUAGUAUUACAUUCCCUCUAAGCCAUUUAGGACAGUUCGUCUGGGAAUCUGUUGGAGGCAAGACUUGGUACUCAUCCACAUAACUAGUCUAAAUUUUUAUUAUUACCUGGUACCUGUGGAAGAAUUUCGAGUCUUACAGUUCUCCUUUCCCAGGGCAAGAUCGAGUAAAUGUAUGUUUUCGAUGAACCCAACUGCAAAUAGCUUUGAUAGCGGCCAUUUUUGAAACCAGUUUUACUCUCUGAAGUCUGAACUUUUUCCAGUCUUUGAAUGGCGAAGGACGCUUUCCCGUAAUAUACUCCCAGUAGCGCUUCAUUCCCCCCUGCUGAGAUUGUUAUGCGUCAACUCGAAUCAUUGUAAGUGUUCAAGUUGUAAAUAAAAUUCCAUUCAAGAUAAAGGAUAAUAAAACAGAUUGAGAGGGAAAAACAAAACAAAACAAAACAAAAAAACAAAACAAAAAACAAUACAAAAACAAAAACGUUGUAAUCGACUUGUUGUAAUUUGACAUAUUGGUCCAGCAAGCCCAUUUUGACGAACAGUUCAAGACAGAUUUUGGUCU